rnacentral:tRNA from 1 species
AAUAUCUUAGUUUAAAGGUAAAUUUCAAUACUUUUAAUCUUUGUUAUAUGGGUUCGAAUCCCAUAGGUUUUA